rnacentral:rRNA from 1 species
AAUGGGCGCAAGCCUGAUCCAGCAAUGCCGCGUGUGUGAAGAAGGCCUUCGGGUCGUAAAGCACUUUUGUCCGGAAAGAAAACCUCGUGGUUAAUACCCGUGGGGGAUGACGGUACCGGAAGAAUAAGCACCGGCUAACUACGUGCCAGCAGCCGCGGUAAUACGUAGGGUGCAAGCGUUAAUCGGAAUUACUGGGCGUAAAGCGUGCGCAGGCGGUUCGCUAAGACAGAUGUGAAAUCCCCGGGCUUAACCUGGGAACUGCAUUUGUGACUGGCGGGCUAGAGUAUGGCAGAGGGGGGUAGAAUUCCACGUGUAGCAGUGAAAUGCGUAGAGAUGUGGAGGAAUACCGAUGGCGAAGGCAGCCCCCUGGGCCAAUACUGACGCUCAUGCACGAAAGCGUGGGGAGCAAACAGGAUU